UGAAGUCAUCGUCGGAAAGUGGACAGAACCACGGCAAACAAACGAGAGACGGGUAAACAAGCGCACCUGUUCGCCCCUUGAGCGACAGGGGACUGAUGGUCCCCGAGGAUCGAGCGAGCUGGAAAACAAACAACUGAUUCAUUCUCUCUGCAAAGAGAGGAACGGCGAGCUACCUCGCAGCUAUGAAGUGAUCCAGCAACAAGAAAACAUUAAGCCCUGGCCUGCGAUACUCUGAAGCAAUACCCGGAGAGGACAUCACAAGAAUCAACAAGGCUAAAGAAUCAGAUGUGCUUUCAUCUCCUUUCCACAUGAACAAUCUGUGAGCAGAGGCAAUUUGGGAGAAGGGCGCACUGCAGGCGGUGGGCUCUGUGUUUGGACGUCUACUUCCACAGCUCUCAGCUUUCACUCAUGCUCGGCUUACGGCCCAACUCGGCAGGGCUCCACUCUGGACUAGACUCAGGCCUUGUAGUAAAGGCAUAUUGUGGCAUCUCUCAAACACUGACACUUAGCAAAAGCUCAUGUACGAUAGCAAAAACAUUAAGAAAGUAAAAUUGCAUGGUCAAUCUCUUGAACAAAAUCUUAAGCCCUCUCAUUCAGAUGCUUCUUUCUCAUGUGAGUUGCUGGCAGAAAUGUGCAUAUAUCUUCAAUUUCUUGGAUAAAAUCUUAACUCUCCACAUUCAGAUGCUUCCUUCUCAUGUGAGUCGCUGGCACCGUUGCGCCUGCUGACGUCAAGGAGGAGUAUCGCUACAUAUCCUGAGUCUAAGGCGUAGCCCACAAUACAAACUUUAAAAAGCCACUCAUAAUAGUAACCAUCCUGGUCAAUAUCACCAGAACAAAAUGCAUGCUGUCAAAAGUUAUUUUUGUUAAUAUUUUGAGGCGUCUGGAACGGAUUGAUUUUAUUCACAUUAUCUUCAAUGGGAACGGUUGUUUUGGAUUUCAUGUAUUUUAGUCAGACAUUCUGGAACGGAUUGGUUUUAUUCACAUUAUCUUCUAUAGGAACAGUUGUUUUGGAUUUUAUAUAUUAUAGUCAGACAUUCUGGGACGGAUCCACUGUACUCAUAAACAUUGGCACGCAAAUGCUGCAUCACUAUCGAGUCAAAUAAUAAAAAAAAUAAUAUAAAAACAGUUCUUUCUUGUUAUAAUUGAUAAGUAAGUCAUACUGAAUGAGAAGCCAAUUAAAAAGAUCCUAAAGCAACAAUGCAAAAAUAAUACAGGCAUAUUACAGAUCAUUUUGAAGAAGAAAGAUCUGGCUUGUGGUUUACAGCUCUUUUUCAUUAUCGGAAAAAGUAAUGAAAAUCAGCAAGCUCACUUAGGCAUAAUCCUGCUGACACAGACUAACACAGAAAUCUAAUUAGACGGAGCAGAUGCAAUAUAGUUAUCAUGCUGAUAGAUGAGUUGACGGUGAAGAAAAAAAACAAUUAAAGAAUAAACAUGUCUUUUUCUCGACAUUAUCAACCUCAGUUUAUUUGUCAGUUCAUUGGGGAGCCAUUCAUGAUUUGUAUUGUGCUUAAAACACAAAGAAUUGAAUGGAAAAUAACUGCAAAAAAUUGCUUUUUGAGUGCCAGCAAUAAGGGAAUUGUGGUUGGACAAUGUCAUGCAUUGCUGCCACAAACAAUGUUGUUGGGGGAGAAAGAUGCUCUAGUAAUACUUUAGUUGUUAGAGAGUGCAAUUUUCAAAGAGGAAAGUUGAGAAAAAAGGAAAUACAUACAGUGCAGAAACUUUUAGAUCUCAUAAUAAUACAGUAUUAGUCAGUGUGGUAUGGCACGGUAUGUAUCUUCAAAAUAAUCAUACUCAAGAUAAAUGUCAGAAUAUGCACCUGCCAUAGUGCUUCCCACUUUGCUGAACUGCAACUUUAUGAACUUGCUUUCCCCCCACCCAGUGUUAGCUAACCUCCAGAACUACUAUGUUGACAGCAAGCAGCUUUAUCAUUCAGCUAUGCAAUCUCUGCAGGUUGUAAGCACAUUAACAAUGCAUGAGUAACUGUAUCUUUAAAAAUACAUAAAAACACGCAAACAUUUGCAAAAUGCUGACCGAGCGCUUUCACUUUCCUCGCAACCGCACAACAAUGCGACAAUGCAUAUGCCUGCGUGGAGAUAAAUAGACGACAUGACUCGAUCUUGCAGGAACAGAUGUGAUUGAGGCAUCCUUUGAGUCCCAAUAAAUUAAAAAAAAAUAAUAAUAAUCUUGCCCUCAUCGGUUUGAAUGGCAAGCAACACACCUGGACGUAUUUUGCUUUCACUUUAGUUGAUGAGCACAGCGCCCUGGGGAGAGGGAUAAAUAAUCCUCUUUAACCACAGCACGGCACGUUAAGAGAGAAGAUUAAACCAAAGAUGUCUUUGUGUGGGUGCUUAAAAGAGAUGUACGUAUUUCGGGGGACUACUAAACAUCCAUCCAUCAACCAUUAUGCGCAUGAAUUAAAACAUCCCGGGUUGAAUGGAAGCCAUUUAAUGUGUGUAUAAAAAUGGCUGGAUAUGAACUGAUGAAAAAUGUACUGCAUGUUACAGACUGUAAUCACUUUUAUUCACUCAACAUCAAACUAUAUAAAACUGUGCAUCUCUGUUA